rnacentral:rRNA from 1 species
UACGUAGGGGGCAAGCGUUGUCCGGAUUUAUUGGGCGUAAAGAGCGUGUAGGCGGCCUGAAAGGUCAGCUGUGAAAACUCGAGGCUCAACCUCGAGACGUCGGUUGAAACCAUCUGGCUAGAGUCCGGAAGAGGAGAGUGGAAUUCCCGGUGUAGCGGUGAAAUGCGCAGAUAUCGGGAAGAACACCCGUGGCGAAGGCGGCACUCUGGGACGGUACUGACGCUGAGACGCGAAAGCGUGGGGAGCGAACAGG